CCUUUUCGAAAAAUCACAUGGUCGGGUGAAAUUAUUGAACACUUUGCAGAGAAAAAUUGCUUCUUUUCGUCGAGAAAUAUCCGCAUUUUUGUCAAAAACCAACUCAGUAAGUAUUAUUAAUAUAUAAGCGAGCUAUUAUAUGCACUUAGUGUAUAAAAAAAGUAUUUAAUUCAUACUUUGUCGAGGAAUGGCAGAUUAUACCUCGCAAUUACAUUCGCUAAUUUCCUCUCAUAUCCCAUGCUCUAGGCUCCCAAACACCACUAACAAUAUACACCUACUAAUAAAAUAUUAACAAAUAUUAAUCUUUUUCAACUAAUUAUAAAGUUUGCAAAAACCUAUCUCUAACCGCUUAUUAGUACAACCCGAUAUCGAUAUCGAUAUCGAUAUUUCCAAUAAGGUGCUGACCUCUGUGAAAAUGCAAGUUUUCGCUGCUAAGCGUAACAAAUAUGGAGGAGGGUUGAUAACUCGCAAAAUUAAUCAACGUUCAAAAACUUUAGCAUUUAUUCAAACCUUAAUUGGUAAAAAUGGAUUCUGUCACUAAUAUUUAUUAAUAUUACUAUCUACACAGUUUGUUCACAUCACUCCAACAGUAUUUUUGACCACAAAGUUAUGCCUAGAAUAACAACAAAAAUUCGUGCUAAGUCUUCCGAAACCCUCCAAAAUGAUAGAUGGGCAACUUUAAGAUCCGCCUCUAAAGGAAAGAGUGCCGCUUUAGACGGCUUUGGCCGUUUAGAUGUUGGUAGUUCCAAACCGAGAACCGUAAAGUGUAACACUUUUGAAGAUAUUGCCAAUCUAAUUGCACGUGGUCAAGCUACAAAUAUCGUCGUGGUUAUUGGAGCGGGCGUCAGUACGGCUUCUGGAAUUCCUGAUUUUAGAUCACCUAAGACAGGACUUUAUUAUAAUUUGCAAAAAUUCAACAUCCCCUAUCCGGAAGCUAUAUUCGACAUGGACUAUUUUCGUACAAAUCCUAGACCUUUCUACACAUUAGCUAAAGAUCUUUAUCCGUCUGUUAAGCAUAAACCAAAUAGUGUUCAUUAUUUUAUUCGUUUGCUGCAUGAGAAACAUUUAUUGCAUCGUGUUUAUACACAAAAUAUCGAUGGCUUAGAAAAAUUAAGUGGAAUACCAAAUAGUAAACUCGUCGAAGCUCACGGUACAUUUGAGACAGCUAGCUGUACUCGUUGUAGAUCUCCCCAAUCUCCCGGAGAUGUCAAGGACAGUAUAUUUAGCAAUAAGAUUCCCAGAUGUUCCAAUCGCCGAUGCAACGGAUUAGUAAAGCCGGAUGUAGUGUUUUUUGGAGAGGACCUAACAAGCAAAUUCUAUUCGUAUGUGUCGGAUAUGAAAUUCGCAGAUUUGGUUCUUAUCAUGGGAACUUCGCUCCAGGUUGAACCAUUCUCGAAUAUUAUUGAUCGUGCCAAGUUUUUCGUGCCUAGAUGUCUUUUUAAUAAGAAAGCUGUUGGACCAUUUGCUAAAAAAGGACGCUUGAAUGAUGUAUUUGUUGGUGGUGACUUAAUUGAUACGGUUGCGCAGUUGGCUGCGAAACUUGAUUGGACAGACGAACUAAGCCGAAAUACGAUCCAGUGGGAAAGUGAAUUUGAAGACCGAUUACAGCAGUACGGAUUUAUGAAACGUAUUGCAGUUCGUCCGCGUCCGCCUAGAAGUAUACGUAGACUUCCUAAACCUCCACCUGAUACUCCAGAAACAACCACUUCGUCUGAAGCGGAAACCGAAAGCCAAAGUUCAAACUCUUCCGGAAGCACUCCGGUGUUGAGAAGUUCAAAACGGAGACAUGAUGUAAUAAUUAAAAAUAUUAUUGAUAAAUUUGAAAAAACGUCAAUAAAAUAGAUUAUAUGUGAAUAAAUUAUUAC
rnacentral:misc_RNA from 1 species